UACGUAGGGUGCGAGCGUUGUCCGGAAUUAUUGGGCGUAAAGAGCUUGUAGGCGGUUUGUCGCGUCUGCUGGUUGAAAAUUCCCAGGGCUUUAACCCUGGGCUUGCAGUGGGUACGGGGCAGACUAGAGUGUGGUAGGGGAGACUGGAAAUUCCUGGUGUAGCGGUGAAAUGCGCAGAUAUCAGGAGGAACACCGAUGGCGAAAGGGCAGGUCUCUGGGCCACUACUGACGCUGAGAAGCGAAAGCAUGGGGAGCGAACAGG
rnacentral:rRNA from 1 species